rnacentral:snRNA from 9 species
AUACUUACCUGGAUGGGGUCGAUGGGUGAUCAUGAAGGCCCAUGGCUAGGAUUGUGACCUCCAUUGCACUUAGGAGGGGUGCUUUCCUAAGGUCUACCCAAGUGGUGGAGCCUACAUCAUAAUUUGUUGCCUGAGGGGGCCUGCGUUCGCGCGGCCCCCAC